CACACUCUCACCAGCCAUCGAAUCUGCUGGGGCUUCGAUCUUAGACUUCCCCACCUUCAGAACCAUGAACAACAAAUUUCUGUUUGUAAAUCACCCAGCCUAAGGUAUUUGGUUAAAGCAGUGGGAACAGACCAGACAUACCUCAGUGAUGGAAUCACGAAACGGUCAGGUCCUUGUACUCCUAAUGAGGAGAGUGAACAUGAAAUUUAUCAUCCAAACUGUGACACUUUUGAGAGAAGGGGAUACUAUUCAUUAUACUGGACAGCAGAUGUGAAUCAGGACUGUCCUAGAGAAACCAGAGGAUAUAAAAGAUCCAAUAAUGACAACUGCUAUGUUAUUCAUAAGAGUUCAUUCAUACAGGAGUUGUUUUCAUCCUUGUGUUUCAUGAAUAAAGGGUCAAUCAAGUCAACAAA